rnacentral:rRNA from 1 species
GGCUCCAUUAGUGCGGUGUGCAGGAACUCGGUGGGUGAUUACCUUGGACCCUCGGCGAUGGUGUGCCCAGGAAUUGUUGAUUCAAUCGUCCUUGAAGCCAUGGCUUGUCGAGAAGCGCUAUCACUUGCAUCUGAUCUUUAUCUGGACCAACUAGAGAUAGCCUCCGAUUGCAAAGAACUAGUGAACAACCUCUUUUCUGUCAAUGGAGGGCUUCAUGGCAAUAUUGUCCGGGAAAUCAGAAGAACCGCGACAUCUUUCCAAAAGUCCUCCGUCAUCUCUGAAGGGAGAAUCUCGAACCUCGAGGCGCAUAGCCUCGCUAAACAUUCUCUUAGUCUUACACUUGGACGCCAUCUUGGCUCCUUUAGCCCCUCGAUUUAA